GGUGGGCGGGGCGCCGGGACUGGCGCGCCGGAGCGGUCCUGGCAGGGGUGGCCGCCGGCUACCUCCCCUGGUUCAUGUAUCCGGAACGCACCAC
rnacentral:tRNA from 1 species